rnacentral:rRNA from 1 species
GUCCACGCCGUAAACGAUGAAUACUAGCUGUUGGGAGCGAUAAGUUCUCAGUAGCGCAGCUAACGCGAUAAGUAUUCCGCCUGGGGAGUACGGCCGCAAGGCUAAAACUCAAAGGAAUUGACGGGGCCCGCACAAGCGGUGGAGCAUGUGGUUUAAUUCGACGCAACGCGAAGAACCUUACCUACUCUUGACAUCCUGAGAAUCCUGUAGAGAUACGGGAGUGCCGAAAGGAACUUAGAGACAGGUGCUGCAUGGCUGUCGU